AGAAGGGAAGUGAAUUGAGUUAAUUUGAAGUGGAGUUGCUGAUGAUGAGAGUAUAAUUGGCAUGAGCUGCGACAAUAUUUUGCGCACCAAGUUCUUUUUGAGACAUGGGUUGUUGUUGCAAUGAAGAAUGUGCCGAAAUGCUAAUCUGAGCCUCUCUAUCUUCAUCUUAGGUUAUUGUUCUUUUGUGAAAUUUUGGCUUAAAGGACAAUACUCGGUCUUCUCCUUAGGAUCUAAUAUAUCUCUGUUUGCAUAUAACCUCUCUGUUACCAUUUGAUAGAUGCUAAGAGGGCUGGAUGAAGUUCUUAAAAGGAGUGUGGAUUGGUAGAAAUCGUGAAAAUUAUGUAUUGUUACAUUAAUUUUCUGAUUAUUUCAAAAAAAAAUUUAAGAACUGCAAGAGGAUGCGGUUGGCAAAAUAUUGGUGCAUUUGUGAAUCUAGGGACAUACUAUUUAGUCAGAAAUCCAUCAGCUAUUGUGGUAGCUUUUGUAUUUCAUGUUGGAGACAAGGUUCUGACAUGUUUUAUAUU